GACGAACGCUGGCGGCGUGCUUAACACAUGCAAGUCGAACGGAAAGGCCCUGCUUUUGUGGGGUGCUCGAGUGGCGAACGGGUGAGUAACACGUGAGUAACCUGCCCUUGACUUUGGGAUAACUUCAGGAAACUGGGGCUAAUACCGGAUAGGAGCUCCUGCUGCAUGGUGGGGGUUGGAAAGUUUCGGCGGUUGGGGAUAGACUCGCGGCUUAUCAGCUUGUUGGUGGGGUAGUGGCUUACCAAGGCUUUGCCGGGUAGCCGGCCUGAGAGGGUGACCGGCCACAUUGGGACUGAGAUACGGCCCAGACUCCUACGGGAGGCAGCAGUGGGGAAUAUUGCACAAUGGGCGGAAGCCUGAUGCAGCAACGCCGCGUGCGGGAUGACGGCCUUCGGGUUGUAAACCGCUUUCGCCUGUGACGAAGCGUGAGUGACGGUAAUGGGUAAAGAAGCACCGGCUAACUACGUG
rnacentral:rRNA from 1 species